UAGGAAUCCAAUAUUGUUUCCAGGGCUUGGUUUUGGGACAUCCUGGGAUAGUGGCAGUAUUUUAAGUGAAAUGAAGAACAUGAAGAAUGAAACAUAGCAUAUUUGGGAAAAGAUACAAGCAAUCGGACAUAAAGUCGUACAGCUGAGCGAGGGAGGAAGUAUUUUCAUCCUCAUUCAGGGCAACAGCUGGUUAUUUCUCUACAAAAGAAUCACUUUCUCUACGGCUAUGUGGCCCAAGCAGACUGCGAAGAGGAGCAUUCUGCUCAUCAAGAAAGGCCAACAGAGACAGCAAGAGAGCAGAAGCGGAGGACUGGGGCUCCAGUAAGUGGAUCCUGCACCCCUUGCCAGUGGAAGACAUCCGACAGCUAGCUGUGGAAACCCCUCCACACCCUCGUCAGCACGAGCCAGGAUGGUGAGAGCCCCAGCAGCGCCAAACCAGGCAGAUGAAAAUAACACUGUGAAGGUUCUGAAAAUUAAACUGCUGUCGGAAGCAUCCCCCACAAAUUAGGCCAAAGGCUGACUUCUAAACCUAAAAGACUUUAACAGGACCCAAAGUAUUAUAACAUAAUAGAAAAAAAUGUCCAGAACACCAUCAAAAAUCACCUAUAACACCCAAAGCCAAGAAAAUCACAACUUCAAUGAGAAAAGACACUCAACUGAUGCCAUACCAGGGUGAACGCCAUACCGUAUGAUGCCAUUUCAUAGGAUGAAUCAGACAUUGGAAUUAUGCAAUUGUAUGACAAGGAUUUUAAAGAAGUAGUUUAAAAAAAUUCUUCAAAAUUCAAUUACCAAUUCUCUUGAGACAAAUGAAAAAAUAGAAAACCUUAACAAAGAAAUGGAAGUUAUAUAUAAAAAAAGAGCCAAAAGGAAGUUAAGAAACUGGAAAAUACAAUAGCAGAAAUUUUUAAAAAUCUCACUGAUGAGCUCAAUAGUAGAGUGGAAAUGCCUUAUUAAUCAAGACUGUGUGGCGUUAGUGAAUGGAUAGACACGUAGAUCAAUGCAACAAAAUAAAGAUCCUAGAAAUAGGCCCACACAAAUGUGCUCAAUUGAUUUUCGACGAAUGUGAAAAGUGAGUUUAAUGGAGGAAAGAAAACUCUUUAAUCCCAUGGUGCUGGAGCACGUGGGCAACCGUAGGACAAAUAAACAAAAAUUACCUUAACCUAGCCUUCACACAGUAUAUGAAAACUGACUCAAAAUUGAUCAUAGAUUUUAAAUAUAAAACU
rnacentral:lncRNA from 1 species